CCUACGGGUGGCAGCAGUGGGGAAUAUUGCACAAUGGGGGAAACCCUGAUGCAGCGACGCCGCGUGAGUGAGGAAGUAUUUCGGUAUGUAAAGCUCUAUCAGCAGGGAAGAAAAUGACGGUACCUGACUAAGAAGCCCCGGCUAAAUACGUGCCAGCAGGCGCGGUAAUACGUAGGGGGCAAGCGUUAUCCGGAUUUACGGGGGGUAAAGGGAGCGGAGACGGGUAAUCAAGUCAGAAGUGAAAACCCAGGGCUAAACUUGGGGACUGCUUUUGAAACUGAGUAGCUAGAGUGCAGGAGAGGUAAGCGGAAUUCCUAGUGUAGCGGUGAAAUGCGUAGAUAUUAGGCGGAACACCAGUGGCGAAGGCGGCAUACUGGACUGUAACUGACGUUGAGGCUCGAAAGCGUGGGGAUCAAACAGGAUUAGAUACCCCAGUAGUC
rnacentral:rRNA from 1 species